rnacentral:misc_RNA from 1 species
UGGUUCUCGCAACGAUGAAGAACGCAGCGAAAUGCGAUAAGUAAUGUGAAUUGCAGAUUUUCGUGAAUCAUUAAAUCUUUGAACGCAACUUGCGCCCUUUGGUAUUCCGGAGGGCAUAUCUGUUUGAGAAUCAGUUUAACCCUCACACUCUUUAAAGAGUGUGGAAAUGAGACUUCUCUUUUAAUUAGAGUGUCUUUAAACUGAUUACCUACUCUUGUUUUUCAAGACUUGUGUUAAACGGCAAGAUUACUGGAUGGUUUUAACCGUUCUUUACUUUGCUUACUAGACAUCUGAGGCGAAAGCAAGUUGAAGGCUUAAAAAGUACACGAAAGCUCGAAAGAGUUUUUAAGACUUGAUCUCAAAUCAGAUAAGACUACCCGCUGA